rnacentral:rRNA from 1 species
UACGAAGGUCCCAAGCGUUGUUCGGAAUCAUUGGGCGUAAAGCGGGUGUAGGUGGCUUUAUAAGUCAGAGGUGAAAGCCCAGGGCUCAACCCUGGAAGUGCCUUUGAUACUGUAAAGCUUGAAUGUAGGAGAGGGUACUAGAAUUCCUGGUGUAGUGGUGAAAUACGUAGAGAUCAGGAGGAAUUCCAGAUGCGAAGGCGGGUGCCUGGCCUAACAUUGACACUGAGACCCGAAAGCGUGGGGAUCAAACAGG